rnacentral:rRNA from 1 species
AACGAACGCUGGUGGCAUGCCUAACACAUGCAAGUCGAACGAAGGCUUCGGCCUUAGUGGCGCACGGGUGAGUAACGCGUGGGAAACUGCCUAUUGGUGGGGAAUAACGACGGGAAACUGUCGCUAAUACCGCAUAAGACCUUCGGGGGAAAGAUUUAUCGCCGUGAGAUGUGCCGGCGUCCGAUUAGCUAGUCGGUGAGGUAUUCGCUCACCAAGGCGACGGUCGGGAGCUGGUCUGAGGGGGUGAUCAGCCACAAUGGGACCGAGACCGGGCCGACACUCCUCCGUAUGGCAGCAGCGGGGAAUGUUGGUUACGAGGCGAACGGUGGAUCCGGCAAUGCCGCGUAAGUGAUGAAUGCCUUAGGGUUGUAAAGCGCUGUCGGGUGGGACGAUGAUGACGGUACCACCAUAAGAAGCCCCGGGUAACUUCGUGCCAGCGGCCGCCGUAA